UGAAAGAACAGCUAUGACCGAAGGUGAGGAGCUGAGAGAGAGUUGCCCCUCCCCCACAGGGAAAACAACUGAACAUCUUUUCCUGCUGGAGCUCAUUCUCUCUCUCACAGCUCCAUCUGACUGGAGGAGCAGCAGUUCACAGCUGGACAUCAACUCAAGGGAGAGGUGUGAAAACAGGACACUCAUCCACAGUCAUCACCAGAUCUCGAAGCGCUUGUCUUUUCGGAAAGGCUCAAUAUCAGUAAUUCUGUUGUUGUGGAGUCUGAAGACACAACAAAGAUAUUCAAACUUUCAUUAAACAGAUCCAAACCAGUGCUACAAGAGAAGUCCAGUCUGCUCUGCAGAGCAGAGAAAACUGCUGCUACUGCCCCCUGCUGGAUCUCAGAGAUACUGCAGCAGUGGAUCAACUUCAACAACAGGACCCUGUCAACACUGAGAGCAAGGAAAACAAGCAUUUUCUUUGUUACACUUAUGUAUUUUUUAAUUAGUGGUGCUUGAAAAGCACUACUAUUGUUCUUCGGCAUACUUAUUAUAAAUAUUAUUCUUCUUCUGCCACUUUUUUUUCGGCGCGUAACUAGUCCCGCACCGUUUGUCGGAGAUCGACGGGUGAGGUGUCAAAUCGAUCGGCUUAUUGAGUAGAGGUGUGCUAUGACUUUUGGUAGCGAUUGUAAUGUCGGCAUUUCCGGUACGGAAGCUCAAAGUCGGAAAAUUUCCCAUAGACUUGCAUUGAGUUUUGAAAGUAUUGGCACUCUAAAGAGAAAGCUCUAAAAGUUUUGCCUCCGUACACAUUCGGCUCUAAAAUGUAUUGGCACCUGAUCUGUUCGGCACUCAGAAGUAUUGGCACCCUAUCUGUCCGGCUCUCGAAAGUAUUGGCACCCUACGCGGGUCGGCUUUUGAAAGAAUUGGCGCCCCGUCCCAGUUUCGCCGCGUCAAGCACCACUCACAUUUUCUUCAGGAAAUGUACCGGUCUAGUUAUUACUGCAAUUUCUAUUACUCUAAAGUGGAUUGUGAACACUGAGUUACCUGAGCUGAGAAACUCUGUUGAACAGAGGGAGAAUCUUCACCAGCUCCCCCUCUGGUAUGGAGGUCCACAGCAGGCUCAGAGAGACAGAAGUACAGUGUUGGAGGGUGAAGCACAGGGCAGUACAGUGGUAAGAGUCCAGCUCUGUAUUGUUCAGGUUGAUACAGCUGUGUGUUGAACUCAACAGACUGGACACACAGUGAGCAGAGCCAGUCUCAUAGAUCUCUCUGAUGAUUGACAGCACAACACUGGGGUUCAAUCUGUAGAGGUUACAAUCACAUCCAUACAUAAAUUUAACGAUAAAUAUUAUUCUUCUGUUAAACCAAUACAGGAGAGGCAAUUCUUUUUAUUUAUUCCUUUUCUUUCCACAAGGUUUAUUAAUUAUUAAUAUUUAACGAUAUGAGCCUCUGAGUACUGAGUGUGGAUAUAUUAUUGUUCAACAUUGAAGAUAUGUCCAUUAAAUAAUGCAUUAAGAUAAUAGUGUAUCUGAUUAUCAUAAAUGUUUACGUGUGUCAUUAUUGGUGCAUUAAUAUGUGGUACAUUUCUAUUCCAGAAACCACACAUAUAGUAAAAGGUGUCUUUGGAAGCAAGAGUGCCUGAUCACAUGAUGUUGACUAAUAAAGAUGAUCAGACAGCCAUAAGAGUUGCUUCAUCUUGAAUCAGGCUCACAUUACUCAAACCGGUGUUCAUGUGGAUGUGACUUCAUCUAUUCUUUUACAUAGCUUUGAGUCUUUGGAACUUAACACAGACUCUGAAAGUGCAUUACCAAGCAAAAUUCACUAUACCUUAGUAUUACUGUUAUAAAAUUAUAAUUAGUUUCAGUUUCGGAAGGAUGUUAAUGAGUUAUGUACAGUAGGUAUCUAAUAUUGUUCAAUAGUACAUUAUUCAAAAGUAAGCAAAGAAACAUUUUAGAUGUAACCCACCUAAUAGUCUUAAAUUGCUACUCAACAUUUAAAGAUUAAGUAUGAAAGCAGAAAUUCUUUCAAAGGAGAUUACAUGUGUAUCUUCUUACCGUUUAAACUGAAUUUCAGACAGUAGAGGAAGAAUCUGUCUGGCAUGAUUAUAUGUGAUUUUGCUCUUUCUGAUGUUCGCACUAAUGCAGCAAACUCGCUGCUGGAGAAAAUAGAUAAGCUCCUCCCAACUGAGAGAACAGGAAGUCAGGUCUCCUCCCACCUUCUCCAGGAAAAAGCGGGUCAGUUCCCCAUCCUGCACCUCACACAGCAGACUGCAUGACACAUGAGGCUGAUGAGAGAGUGAGCCUCCAUCCUGCACUCAGUGAGAUUCACACAGUGAACAGUCCAGAUGUUCAGGAGAGAAGACAAACUGCUCAGAAAUGUGAAGAUCUCUUUCUUUGGGUUUAUGCUGUUAAGCCUCAGACAGAGCUCCUCAAUGACCAACGAGCCACCAGCUCUCACUGCUCCAAAUGCUCGGACCAUCCUCCCUACCACACGGUCACUCAGGCUGACAAGCGUUCACCAAACACAUUCAUUAAAGGGGAUUUCAUGGUCCAGCUCAAUUUCACUCAUGCAUACUAAAGCUUAAUGAAGUUAUAUAACCUGGUGUGAAAAUUAAGAAACUGAUUAAUAACAUACCAGAGUUUCUGUAGGUGUGUGAUGUGUCUGAAGAGAAGUCUGGCCCCUCGGAGAGAGAUGGCUCGGGGUUUCAGAGUGAGUUUGACUUUGGAGUCUGAGAGACGUAGCACUUUCCUCACAGCCCUGCACUCACGAGUGGUUAAAACCCAGUCUAUAAUGAAGAUGAAGUCCAAGGCAGCAAAGAAAGCUCUCACCAACUUUGUAUCUUCUGCGCAGUCAACAACUGCUUUACUUAAACGUGGAAUGAACUCUUCUUCACAUCUAAAACAGACAGGAUUAAUGUAAAACUAUAAAUAGGACAUCUUCUAACUUAUUGUUCUUAAAAUUCCAUAAAUAACAUGUUAGAGGUGAUGCAGUGCUGCUAUAAAGUUUGUGAACCUUUUACAUUUUCUGCAUUUCUGCAUAAAUUUGAUCUGAAAUGUGAUCAGAUCUUCAUCUCAGUCAGAAAACUCAGUGCACCCAAUUAAAUAAACAAUGCAAAAACAGAAUUUUUUAUAUUUAUUUAUUGAGCAAAAUUAUUAAACAUUACAUAUCUGUGUCGGAAAAUGUAUGUGAACCUUUGCUUUCAGUAACAGGUGUGACCCUCUUGAGCAGCAAUAACUUCAACCAAUGUUUUCUGGUCAUUGGUGAUCAAUCCUGCACAAUAGGCUGGAAAAAUUUUGGCCCAUUCAUCCUUACAAAACUACUUCAACUCAGUGAUGCUGGUGGGUUUCCUUGCAUGAACCGCUCUUUUUAGGUCCUUCCACACCACAAAAUACGUUAAUUCCAAUUGCAUGCUACAUCAAUCUAAUUAGUAUACACACAACAUAAUAACUACGAAAGCUUAAACUGUGCAAAGAAAGUCCGUUUUUAUUCAAAAUGAGUAAAUGAUUGAAACUUGCAAAUAACAAACAAAGUUCACCUUAAUAAAAAAGUAUUUAAAAUAAAAUUCUAAGACUGCAGUGCAAAUAAAAAAGUACACAAACAUUGCAAUUACUGGGCAAAUUACCUUCCUCCUCCCAUCAGCUCCCCGCUUCCCCAAAAAGAGCUCCUCAUCCAAACAUCACACUACUUACUUACUUACUUACUCUCACUCACUCACUCACUCACUCACUCUCACUCACUCACUCACUCACUCACUCACUCACUCACUCACUCACUCUCUCACUCACUCACUCUCUCUCUC
ensembl:lncRNA